AGUGAACGCUGGCGGUAGGCCUAACACAUGCAAGUCGAACGGCAGCACAGUAAGAGCUUGCUCUUACGGGUGGCGAGUGGCGGACGGGUGAGGAAUACAUCGGAAUCUACUUUUUCGUGGGGGAUAACGUAGGGAAACUUACGCUAAUACCGCAUACGACCUACGGGUGAAAGCAGGGGAUCUUCGGACCUUGCGCGAUUGAAUGAGCCGAUGUCGGAUUAGCUAGUUGGCGGGGUAAAGGCCCACCAAGGCGACGAGCCGUGGCUGGACUGAGAGGAUGAUCAGCCACACUGGAACUGAGACACGGUCCAGACUCCUACGGGAGGCAGCAGUGGGGAAUAUUCGACAAUGGGCGCAAGCCUGAUCCAGCCAUACCGCGUGGGUGAAGAAGGCCUUCGGGUUGUAAAGCCCUUUUGUUGGGAAAGAAAAGCAGCAGGUUAAUACCCAGCUGUUCUGACUGUACCCAAAGAAUAAGCACCGGCUAACUUCGUG
rnacentral:rRNA from 1 species